rnacentral:misc_RNA from 1 species
GAUGAAGAACGCAGCGAAAUGCGAUACUUGGUGUGAAUUGCAGAAUCCCGUGAACCAUCGAGUCUUUGAACGCAAGUUGCGCCUCAAGCCAUUAGGUUGAGGGCACGUCUGCCUGGGCGUCACAUAUCGUUGCCUGAUGCCAGUUUCCUCGUGAUGGGUGACUGUGCAGGGCGAAUGAUGGCUUCCCGUGAGCAUUGUUGCCUCAUGGUUGGUUGAAAAUUGAGUCCUUGGAAGGGAGCGCCGUGAUAGAUGGUGGUUGAGUGACGAACGAGACCCAAUCAUGUGAGACCCCUACCGAAUUUGGCCUUCAUGACCCACAUGCGUCUUUGGAACGCUCAUGACGAGACCUCAGGUCAGGCGGGGCUACCCGCUGAGUUUAAGCAUAUCAAUAAGCGGAGGA